AUUGAACGCUGGCGGCAUGCUUUACACAUGCAAGUCGAACGGUAACAGGUUAAGCUGACGAGUGGCGAACGGGUGAGUAAUGCAUCGGAACGUGCCCGAUCGUGGGGGAUAACACAGCGAAAGCUGCGCUAAUACCGCAUACGAUCUGAGGAUGAAAGCGGGGGACCGUAAGGCCUCGCGCGAUCGGAGCGGCCGAUGUCAGAUUAGGUAGUUGGUGGGGUAAAGGCUCACCAAGCCGACGAUCUGUAGCUGGUCUGAGAGGACGACCAGCCACACUGGGACUGAGACAUGGCCCAGACUCCUACGGGAGGCAGCAGUGGGGAAUUUUGGACAAUGGGCGAAAGCCUGAUCCAGCAAUGCCGCGUGCAGGAAGAAGGCCUUCGGGUUGUAAACUGCUUUUGUACAGAGCGAAAAGGCUCUCUCUAAUACAGGGGGCUCAUGACGGUACCGUAAGAAUAAGCACCGGCUAACUACGUGCCAGCAGCCGCGGUAA
rnacentral:rRNA from 1 species